ACGGGAGGCAGCAGUGAGGAAUAUUGGUCAAUGGACGGAAGUCUGAACCAGCCAUGCCGCGUGAAGGAAGAAUGCCCUAUGGGUUGUAAACUUCUUUUGCCGCAGAGUAAUAAGUGGGAUGCGUCCCAUGAUGAGAGUAUGCGGCGAAUAAGCAUCGGCUAACUCCGUGCCAGCAGCCGCGGUAAUACGGAGGAUGCAAGCGUUAUCCGGAUUUAUUGGGUUUAAAGGGUGCGCAGGCGGCACGUUAAGUCAGCGGUGAAAUGUCGGGGCUCAACCCGGGCACUGCCGUUGAAACUGGCGAGCUUGAGUACGGAUGAAGUCGGCGGAAUGUGAUGUGUAGCGGUGAAAUGCUUAGAUAUGUCACAGAACACCGAUUGCGAAGGCAGCUGACUAAUCCGCAACUGACGCUCAGGCACGAAAGCGUGGGGAUCGAACAGGAUUAGAUACCCUGGUA
rnacentral:rRNA from 1 species